rnacentral:rRNA from 1 species
AUUGAACGCUGGCGGUAGGCCUAACACAUGCAAGUCGAGCGAGCGGCGGACGGGUGAGUAAUGUCUGGGAAACUGCCUGAUGGAGGGGGAUAACUACUGGAAACGGUAGCUAAUACCGCAUACCAUCAGAUGUGCCCAGAUGGGAUUAGCUAGUUGGUGGGGUAACGGCUCACCCAGGCGACGAUCCCUAGCUGGUCUGAGAGGAUGACCAGCCACACUGGAACGGAGACACGGUCCAGACUCCUACGGGAGGCAGCAGUGGGGAAUAUUGCACAAUGGGCGCAAGCCUGAUGCAGACAUGCCGCGUGUAUGAAGAAGGCCUUCGGGUUGUAAAGCACUUUCAGCGAGGAGGCGUUACCCGCAGAAGAAGCACCGGCUAACUCCGUGCCAGCAGCCGCGGUAAUAC